UAUAAAGAAGAACAUAAAGUUCAAAAACUUCAGUGAAAAGUACUUCCUUGUCAAAUUUUAAGCCAGCUAGUUACCAUGGGUAGAACUCGUUUUAGAGUUAAGUUUACAUGGUGGUGGUCGCUUGCACUUACAACAAGUUUGAGUGAAAUUUUGACAGAUUUUAAAACCUUUAUCACAUGCAUAUAUACAGGGAUUGCAUGGUAGCUGUUGAUCAUGACAGACUUAGGAAGGGGAAAGAACAACAGUACUGCAGUAUUGGCUAAGACAAAUGCUUCGGUAAAACUGGGAAGAAACUUCACAAAAUAUUCCAUUUUUUACAAACAAGUGGGGAAAAAUUCCAGGAUUAGGAAAUUUAAUUAAGUAUAGUCUUAUUUUUCUGUAUGAGAAAUGAGAGGUAUUUAAAAAAUGACAAUUCAGACCAACAGCAAUGCAGGCACAUAAACGUUUCACAUACAGAAGAAUAUUUUUAGUAAUCUAUCUCAGAAGUAAUCAUAUGUGAUUAGGCAUCAAUCACACUUCAAUAAAAUUCCAAAAGCACAAGAUUUUC
rnacentral:lncRNA from 1 species